rnacentral:rRNA from 1 species
GACGAACGCUGGCGGCGUGCUUAACACAUGCAAGUCGAACGGAAAGGCCCUGCUUGCAGGGUACUCGAGUGGCGAACGGGUGAGUAACACGUGGGUGAUCUGCCCUGCACUUCGGGAUAAGCCUGGGAAACUGGGUCUAAUACCGGAUAGGAGCCAUUUUUAGUGUGAUGGUUGGAAAGUUUUUUCGGUGUAGGAUGAGCUCGCGGCCUAUCAGCUUGUUGGUGGGGUAAUGGCCUACCAAGGCGGCGACGGGUAGCCGGCCUGAGAGGGUGGACGGCCACAUUGGGAAUGGGAGACGGCCCAGACUCCUACGGGAGGCAGCAGUGGGGAAUAUUGCACAAUGGGCGCCAGCCUGAUGCAGCGGCGCCGCGGGGGGGAUGACGGCCUUCGGGUUGUAAACUCCUUUCGCUAGGGACGAAGCUUUUUGUGACGGUACCUAGAUAAGAAGCACCGGCUAACUACGUG